CUUGAGCUUCUGUUCCUUUAUUUUUCUUAUCAAGAUCAUUAUUGUUGCAGUCCAUGGCUAGGAUUCAAUCUACGAUUCUGUCCAAGGUACAAGUUUAGUCAGCAUGCAAUAAAAACAGCAAGUUUUAUUCUACUGUUAGAAGCAUGGAAGUUAACAGUGUAUUCCCUAUAUCUACAUAGAAGCAGGGAAGUCCUAAGCAACUUUUAUCCCCUCCAAAAAUACUGCAGUGAUCAACAUUUGCGUCACCAGUUAGGCAGUAAAUAGAGGCUGAAGACUACGAUCAUUUCCAUCAUGUGGAUGAAAUGUAUGCAUUUCCAUCUACAGAUCAUGAUGAAUCCCUAUUCUGAAUGAUAAAAGCAAGAUGGAAAGUCUCUUUAAGGGACACAUCAGGGGCGGACCCAGCAUAAGACAUGGGAGUACACAUGUACACCCGAUAAUUCUUCUUCUUGCAAACGAAAUCCAAGUUAGUAGGUAACUCACUAUAUUGUAACUGGAGUCAGAUCCAAAUACAGAUAGUUUUGUUAGGGUUUGGGGUGCUCCGUCUCCUACAGCACAAGGGAAGACAAGGGGCGGGCGCGGCAUACCUGGAGUGGAGGAGGCGCUCGUCGCCGGCAAAGGGCUGGACCGCCCCUCGCCCAGUCGUCGCCGCCAGGUAGGGAAGGAAGAUCUCGAGCAAGGGAGGAUCUCUUGGAGACAAGGGAAAGGUUCCCUUCGAGAAGAGAAACAGAGGGAGGAGAUGAACUGAGGCCCUCAGCGGCUGAGCUCUGAGCAGCGGGAGGGCUGUCAAUCAGCAGCUCUCCUCCGGUUCCGUUACCAAAUUUCUUCGGAAAAAUUUAUCACCUCCUCAUGUAUGGGGGAUGGUAUACAUAAUCCCACAAUCUAUAAAACAGUCUAUAUCACCCUCUAAACUUUUUAAAACCGAUCAAAUUACCCCAUUAAAGCAGUUUUGAAAAAUCAUAGUAAAUCACAGAAAAAUCAUAAAAUGAAAAAUCUAAUUGUAUUAGACUUCAAAUGUAAACAUAUAAUAUGGUAUUCUUUAGUAUAUUUUUUAUUGUAGCUUUAGAUUUAUGAUUUUCUUCAUAGCUGUAAAAAAAUGUACUAAAGCAUACCAUAUUAUAUGUUCACUGUGUAGAUCUACUCAUUCGGAGUCUAACACAAUUGGAUUUUUCAUUUUAUGAUUUUUCUGUGAUUUAAUAUGAUUUUUUUAAAACUACUUUAGGGGGUAAUUUGACUAAUUUUGAAAAAUUUAGGGGGUGAUAUAGACCGUUUCAUUGUUUGGGGGGGUUAUGUAUUCUAACCCCCCUAGGUGAGGGGGUGAUAUAAACUUUUUCCAAUUUCUUCUGAUAAAUAAAGAUUAGACUAAAAAACUGAUUUAAUCUGAUAAAUAAAGAGAAAAGAUAGUGUAU